GAUGAACGCUAGCGGCAGGCUUAACACAUGCAAGUCGAGGGGCAGCAUAAUGGAUAGCAAUAUCUAUGGUGGCGACCGGCGCACGGGUGCGUAACGCGUAUGCAACCUACCUUUAACAGGGGGAUAACACUGAGAAAUUGGUACUAAUACCCCAUAAGCGCACGGUAUCGCAUGAUACAGUGUGAAAAACUCCGGUGGUAUAAGAUGGACCCGCGUCUGAUUAGCUUGUUGGUGAGGUAACGGCCCACCAAGGCGACGAUCAGUAGCCGGCCUGAGAGGGUGAACGGCCACAUUGGGACUGAGACACGGCCCAAACUCCUACGGGAGGCAGCAGUGGGGAAUAUUGCACAAUGGGGGAAACCCUGAUGCAGCGACGCCGCGCGAGUGAUGAAGUAUUUCGGUAUGUAAAACUCUAUCAGCAGGGAAGAUAAUGACGGUGCCUGACUAAGAAGCACCGGCUAAAUACGUGCCAGCAGCCGACGG
rnacentral:rRNA from 1 species